rnacentral:rRNA from 1 species
AUUGAACGCUGGCGGAAUGCUUUACACAUGCAAGUCGAACGGCAGCACGGGGGCAACCCUGGUGGCGAGUGGCGAACGGGUGAGUAAUACAUCGGAACGUGCCCAGUCGUGGGGGAUAACGUAGCGAAAGUUACGCUAAUACCGCAUACGAUCUAAGGAUGAAAGCGGGGGACCGGAAGGCCUCGCGCGAUUGGAGCGGCCGAUGUCAGAUUAGGUAGUUGGUGAGGUAAAGGCUCACCAAGCCGACGAUCUGUAGCUGGUCUGAGAGGACGACCAGCCACACUGGGACUGAGACACGGUCCAGACUCCUACGGGAGGCAGCAGUGGGGAAUUUUGGACAAUGGACGCAAGUCUGAUCCAGCCAUUCCGCGUGCAGGAUGAAGGCCCUCGGGUUGUAAACUGCUUUUGUACGGAACGAAAAGGUCUCUCUUAAUACGGGGGACUCAUGACGGUACCGUAAGAAUAAGCACCGGCUAACUACGUGCCAGCCGCCGCCGUAA